AGUGAACGCUGGCGGCGUGCUUAACACAUGCAAGUCGAACGAGAACGGGAUAUAGCUUGCUAUAUUUGUCAGCCAAGUGGCGCACGGGUGAGUAAUGUAUAGAUAACCUGCCCUCUAGAAAGGAAUAACAGUUGGAAACGACUGCUAAUGCCCUAUAUGCCUUUAAUACAUAAGUAUGCAAGGGAAACGCUUUAGUGCUAGAGGAUGGGUCUGUAUGGUAUCAGCUUGUUGGUGAGGUAAUGGCUCACCAAGGCUAUGACGCCUAACUGGUUUGAGAGGAUGAUCAUUCACACUGGAACUGAGACACGGUCCAGACUCAUACGAGAGGCAGCAGUGGGGAAUAUUGCACAAUGGACGAAAGUCUGAUGCAGCAACGCCGCGUGGAGGAUGACACAUUUCGGUGCGUAAACUCCUUUUAUAUAGGAAGAUAAUGACGGUACUAUAUGAAUAAGCACCGGCUAACUCCGUGCCAGCAGCCGCCGUAACAC
rnacentral:rRNA from 1 species